ACAACGCUCAUUAGAGCUACUCGGGGGCGGGUACAUGUGGUCUCAAGUGCUAAACCGAGGCAUGGAAAGUCAAACUCAGCACACCCAAAGUCUUAACACAGCAAGAAGCUGAAGCCAGAGUCAGAAUCCGUUGGGAAUGAAGCAAGAGCCAUGGCUUUCACCCCAGAAUUCGGCUAACCUUCCAGCCAACCUACAGACGUCAGAAAACUUUUUAGAUUCCACCCAGAAGAUGGGAAAGGAAGAAAUUUCCUCAUACUGGCUUUCGAUAUUCCUACUUUCCUAGUUCUUUACAGCUUCUCUAGAUGUGAUAGUAGACCAUAAAAAAUAAUAGUUUCUAGGCCGGGAGAUGGUGGCGCACACCUUUAAUCCCUGCAUUCGAUCUCUGUGAGUUCGAGGUCAGCCUGGUCUACAAAAGCUAGUUCCAGGGCAGGCACCAAAGCUACACAGAAGAACCCUGUCUCGAAAAACAAAAAAAAAAAAAAAAAAAAAAAAAAAGUUACUGCCGGGUGAUGGUGGUGCAUGCCUUUAGUCCUAGUACACAGGAGGCAGAGACAGGAGGAUCUCUAGUUCGAGCCCAGUCAGGUCUACAGAGUGAGUUCUGGGACAGCUAGGGCUACUCAGAGAAACCCUGUCUCAAAACAAAAGAGUUUAGGUAAUUUCUCUCCUCCCAGGGAGAGAGGAGCAACAGUCUAAAGCAGAGGGAUUCGGAAAACCACACAAUACUCUUCUUAAGCAAACAUUUUUUUAAUGGGAAGGGAGACACCAUGUGCGGUGAUUAAUUUCUGUCAACUUGACACAAACUGAAGCCAUCUGGGAAGAGAGACUCUUAAAUUGAAGAAGUGCCUCCACCAGACAGGUCAUGACCUUGGGAGCAUUUUCUUGAUGAAUCCAGCCCUACGUGGGUGGUGUCAUCCCUAGACAGGUGGAUCUGUGUGGUAUAAAAAAGCAGGUUGGGCAAGCCCAGUGCAACACCAGCUGCCUGGGUCUGGUCCAGACUGGGGACAAACAGGAGGACCUUGGAAAAUUGAUUGCACCACUUUGCCCAGAUGAAGUAAGGUCAGUCUUUUGCAUGUCCCUCUUCCACAGAAACCAAUCACUUUAUGGAUUUGGUAAAGCCUGCUGUUCUGAUACUUCUGCCUCAAGUGCUAUGCAGACCUGGGUAUGACUUUAUAUGAGCUGGUCUCUGUCACUUUUCUGUUUUGUCUGGACUUAAGUAUAAUUUGUUUAUUCUUCUAAGAUCUCUGAUUGUAUUAAUGGCUAGGUCAGCUAUAAUAUCAGUUUAAGAGCAAAAAGGAUAUCCAGAUCCUUACACAAAGCUACGGCCAGCUUGUUAGCUCAUUAUAUAUAAAGGUCUGAGGAUAUAAAAGUUCAUAAACAUUAAAGGUUUAAAAAGUAAUUUAAGAUAAUACUAAUAAACAGUAAAAACUAUGACUACAUGCUGUUUGGGUUACAAGCUCAGGACUUUCUGUGUUUUUGCUGGGGCUCAAAGGUAUGAGUCUAUUUUUACUGUUGUAUAGAUAUCUGUUAUUUGCUACUUCUAUAGUAUAGAAUUUAAUAUGGAGGGGGUGCAGAAGACAUCACCGCUCCUACUUGUUAUAAUUGUGGAAAACCUGGGCACAUUCAAAGGGAUUGCAAGAAAUCCAAAAGCUCAGGACAAAAAAGUUUACCGGGCAUAUGUCCUCGGUGCAAAAGGGGAAAACAUUGGAGUAGUGAGUGUAAAUCAAAAUAUUAUAAAAAUGGCUCUCCUCUCACUAAAGAAGGAGAGGAAGAACCUAAAGAGCCAAAAAACUAGAACAGGGAUGUUCUAAUCACCUCGGGACGAGGGUAUGCUUGUGUGUUUCCACAGAAUGCUGACUCCCCCAUUUGGAUCCCAGAUCGCCUCAUCCGACCUGCUGUUGCAAAACAGAAGAAGGAAAAGACGGUGGCGGAAGCAGAAAAAGCAGCUCCAGCAGCAAAUGAAGAAGUCUUCAAAGAGAAGAAACUAGAGCAGCUUUAAGUAUAGUAAAAAAGGGGGGGCAAAAGCAAUGGGCCAUUUUUAUGGGAAAGAAGAGAUUUGCAUAAAAGCAGUAUGCUCUGCAAAGGCUCCUUGUGUCUCUGCUUAGAAAGAGAGAGAUUUAAGGAAAAGAAGUCAAAGUCCAGAGAGGAACCACAGGAAGGACUUUGGUAAAAGUUUUCAUGUUGUGUGGAAAGUAAGAGAAGGCAGGAGACUGGAAUAGUGAAGAGAAGGGAAGGGAAAGAGGAGUUCGUCUAAAGUAAAACGUCUGGCUGGGCCAGAAGAGCAGAGGGUGACAGGAAAAGUCUGACCGAGGGUGUGUGGGAAGUUGUAGAAGGCCAGAGGGGGCGCGAACUGUAUUUGCUUUGGUUUCUCAUACCUGCAAAUACUGAAUUUGAAAAGAAACCGUAAAACGUGUUGGAAAUUUGACUAUGUUAGGUUAAUUCUGGUUGGAUUUCUUCAUUUCAAAAAGAAGCUGGAAGCAAAAAUAAAUGUGCUGGAGGAAGUAGUGCUCGCUCUUGGUCAGGACAUUGCUAAUUUAAAAACAACUCUAUCGACACGUUGUCAUGGUAAUUUUAAAUCAAUCUGUGUCACACCAUUACCUUAUAAUACUUCACAGCCAUGGGAUAAAGUUAAGGCUCACCUACAGGGAUUGUGGCAGGAUAACGAUAUUACUCAUGAUUUAGCCUCAUUACAAAAGGAUAUUUCUGCUAUGAGUCAAUCUCAUUUACAAUUAGGGGGACUGCAAGAUUUGGCUUCACAAUUGGAACGUGGACUUAAGAGCCUUAAUCCCUUAAAUUGGGCAGUGGAACAGGAGGUGUUCGAGCUUCAUUUUAAAAAUAAAAAAGGGAGACCUGCCACGUCCACAGCAGUGACUGCCGUGUAGUGACAAAAUGCCUCUGCGCUGGCUUUUGCCUGCUGAAGGAUUGGGGUUAGAGCUUCUUGGAGCGAAGCCCCAGGUGGUCCCCCUGGCAAUCAGCAGUCCAGA